rnacentral:tRNA from 2 species
UGGGGCGUCGCCAAGCGGUAAGGCAUCGGUUUUUGGAGUCGACAUUCGCAGGUUCGAAUCCUGCCGCCCCAGCCA